GAUGAACGCUGGCGGCGUGCCUAAUACAUGCAAGUCGAGCGAACAGACGAGGAGCUUGCUCCUCUGACGUUAGCGGCGGACGGGUGAGUAACACGUGGAUAACCUACCUAUAAGACUGGGAUAACUUCGGGAAACCGGAGCUAAUACCGGAUAAUAUAUUGAACCGCAUGGUUCAAUAGUGAAAGACGGUUUUGCUGUCACUUAUAGAUGGAUCCGCGCUGCAUUAGCUAGUUGGUAAGGUAACGGCUUACCAAGGCGACGAUGCGUAGCCGACCUGAGAGGGUGAUCGGCCACACUGGAACUGAGACACGGUCCAGACUCCUACGGGAGGCAGAAGUAGGGAAUCUUCCGAAAUGGGCGAAAGCUUGACGGAGCAACGCCGCGUGAGUGAUGAAGGUCUUCGGAUCGUAAAACUCUGUUAUUAGGGAAGAACAAAUGUGUAAGUAACUAUGCACGUCUUGACGGUACCUAAUCAGAAAGCCACGGCUAACUACGU
rnacentral:rRNA from 1 species